rnacentral:rRNA from 1 species
UAGCCUUGACAUUGAUUGAACGGACCAGAGAUGGACCGGUGCCUUUCGGGGAACAUGAAAACAGGUGCUGCACGGCUGUCGUCAGCUCGUGUCGUGAGAUGUUGGGUUAAGUCCCGCAACGAGCGCAACCCUCGUCGUUAGUUGCUAACAGGUUAAGCUGAGCACUCUAGCGAGACUGCCUUCGCAAGGAGGAGGAAGGUGAGGACGACGUCAAGUCAUCAUGGCCCUUAUGGCUAGGGCUACACACGUGCUACAAUGGGGCGUACAGAGAGUUGCGAUACCGCGAGGUGGAGCCAAUCUCAUAAAGCGUCUCUCAGUUCGGAUUGUUCUCUGCAACUCGAGAACAUGAAGCUGGAAUCACUAGUAAUCGUAGAUCAGCAAUGCUACGGUGAAUACGUUCCCGGGUCU